rnacentral:rRNA from 1 species
UGGGUAACCUGCCUCAAAGAGGGGAAUAGCCUUCCCCGAAAAGGGGAGAUUUAAA